GACGAACGCUGGCGGCGUGCCUAAUACAUGCAAGUAGAACGCUGAAGAGAGGAGCUUGCUCUUCUUGGAUGAGUUGCGAACGGGUGAGUAACGCGUAGGUAACCUGCCUUGUAGCGGGGGAUAACUAUUGGAAACGAUAGCUAAUACCGCAUAACAAUGGAUGACACAUGUCAUUUAUUUGAAAGGGGCAAUUGCUCCACUACAAGAUGGACCUGCGUUGUAUUAGCUAGUAGGUGAGGUAACGGCUCACCUAGGCGACGAUACAUAGCCGACCUGAGAGGGUGAUCGGCCACACUGGGACUGAGACACGGCCCAGACUCCUACGGGAGGCAGCAGUAGGGAAUCUUCGGCAAUGGGGGCAACCCUGACCGAGCAACGCCGCGUGAGUGAAGAAGAUUUUCGGAUCGUAAAGCUCUGUUGUAAGUCAAGAACGAGUGUGAGAGUGGAAAGUUCACACUGUGACGGUAGCUUACCAGAAAGGGACGGCUAACUACGUGCCAGCAGCCGCGGUAAUACGUAGGUCCCGAGCGUUGUCCGGAUUUAUUGGGCGUAAGGCGAGCGCAGGCGGUUUGAUAAGUCUGAAGUUAAGGCUGUGGCUCAACCAUAGUUCGCUUUGGAAACUGUCAAACUUGAGUGCAGAAGGGGAGAGUGGAAUUCCAUGUGUAGCGGUGAAAUGCGUAGAUAUAUGGAGGAACACCGGUGGCGAAAGCGGCUCUCUGGUCUGUAACUGACGCUGAGGCUCGAAAGCGUGGGGAGCGAGCAGGAUUAGAUACCCUGGUAGUCCACGCCGUAAACGAUGAGUGCUAGGUGUUGGAUCCUUUCCGGGAUUCAGUGCCGCAGCUAACGCAUUAAGCACUCCGCCUGGGGAGUACGACCGCAAGGUUGAAACUCAAAGGAAUUGACGGGGGCCCGCACAAGCGGUGGAGCAUGUGGUUUAAUUCGAAGCAACGCGAAGAACCUUACCAGGUCUUGACAUCCCGAUGCUAUUUCUAGAGAUAGAAAGUUACUUCGGUACAUCGGUGACAGGUGGUGCAUGGUUGUCGUCAGCUCGUGUCGUGAGAUGUUGGGUUAAGUCCCGCAACGAGCGCAACCCCUAUUGUUAGUUGCCAUCAUUCAGUUGGGCACUCUAGCGAGACUGCCGGUAAUAAACCGGAGGAAGGUGGGGAUGACGUCAAAUCAUCAUGCCCCUUAUGACCUGGGCUACACACGUGCUACAAUGGUUGGUACAACGAGUUGCGAGUCGGUGACGGCAAGCUAAUCUCUUAAAGCCAAUCUCAGUUCGGAUUGUAGGCUGCAACUCGCCUACAUGAAGUCGGAAUCGCUAGUAAUCGCGGACCAGCACGCCGCGGUGAAUACGUUCCCGGGCCU
rnacentral:rRNA from 1 species